CGCGGGGUGGAGCAGUGGUAGCUCGUUGGGCUCAUAACCCAAAGGUCGUCGGUUCGAAUCCGACCCCCGCUACCA
rnacentral:tRNA from 1 species